AACGAACGCUGGCGGCAGGCUUAACACAUGCAAGUCGAACGCCCCGCCAGGGGAGUGGCAGACGGGUGAGUAACGCGUGGGAACAUACCCUUUUCUACGGAAUAGCUCUGGGAAACUGGAAUUAAUACCGUAUACGCCCUACGGGGGAAAGAUUUAUCGGGGAAGGAUUGGCCCGCGUUGGAUUAGCUAGUUGGUGGGGUAAAGGCCUACCAAGGCGACGAUCCAUAGCUGGUCUGAGAGGAUGAUCAGCCACAUUGGGACUGAGACACGGCCCAAACUCCUACGGGAGGCAGCAGUGGGGAAUAUUGGACAAUGGGCGCAAGCCUGAUACAGCCAUGCCGCGUGAGUGAUGAAGGCCUUAGGGUUGUAAAGCUCUUUCACCGAUGAAGAUAAUGACGGUAGUCGGAGAAGAAGCCCCGGCUAACUUCGUG
rnacentral:rRNA from 1 species